rnacentral:tRNA from 1 species
GGAGAAUUGGCAGAGUGGUCGAUUGCACUGGUCUUGAAAACCAGCGUACCGCAAGGUACCGGGGGUUCGAAUCCCUCAUUCUCCG